ACUGAACAGAGAAUGAAGACAAUCUUCGUAGUUUUUAUUGUGCUUUUGGCCACUUUUUCGACCACGCAAUCUCUUAGUUGCAGUUGUGAAGGAGUAUCAUGUACUCCUGUGAACAAACUGAACUGCAGAGGAGGAUUUACAUUGGGACUGUGUGGGUGUUGUAAAGUGUGCGCCAAGCUUGAGGGAGAGGAAUGUGGUGGACUAUGGGACACACUUGGAAGAUGUGACAAAGAUUUAAAGUGCGAAACGGAAUCGGAUCUUCCGGAUUGGUUAUCUCAGGGUAAAGGAAAGUGUGUGCCAGUUGAGAGAAAAACCUGAAGAACAGAUUACUUUGAAGACAACUGUCCACUGAAGACAUUUCAUUUUUGUUAUAUUAUAUACAUCUUGUAAUUUCGUGUACGUUUGUGUUAAGUUUUUUUCCUGAGUAAGCAAUUAAAUAAUUCUAAUCAGUUUGAUUUCUUGUUUA